ensembl:lncRNA
GAUCAGAUGCUCUCUGUCUGCUUCUUGAAUCAUGUUUACGAAUGUUGCCCUUCCACAAGUGGAGAACAGCAGUGCCCUUAUGACGUUGCUACUUCAGGCCUGCCGGCAAGACUUCGGUUCCUCGGCCUCCUGCCCCAUCUUUUAUGGAUCUCAGGAACUGCCUGUGAGGCAGAGCACCCUGGAAAACAGAGGAGCAGCAGUAUACAUCACCAGAGGCUGCAGGAGAAUACUGGAAGCAGAGGAUGGGAUCUGCCGCCUGUACCAUGCAGCAAUCAGAGCUAUCCCUACUUGUUCUUUUGAGAUAAAACACACUUUUUUUAAUGCUUAGAUUUUAAUUACCUUUCUACUCAAUGUACAGGCUUGUAGAGGAGCCCACCCUGUUUUGUAUUUUCUUUAAAGGAUCCAUAAGUUCAAUACGAUGAGACCUAGCUUAGUAAAGAUAAGGAAAGGUUUCCCCAGGGAUGCUGUGGCAUGAAGGAGGUUUCUGUCAUGAUAUGGUCAUUCUAACAAAGCAGAGCAAUACAUGAGGGUUUCUCACCUUUAACUUGUUGGCAUUAUACAGCACAGACCUUCCACUAAUUGUUACAAAUUCAGAAUAAGAAAAAAUAAAUGAAAAACAGAAGUUGAAAUUGUGAGUUAAUGAGAGCAAAAUGCGGAGUGGGCUGCAGCAUUCUGUUUGUUAAAUACUGUUGUUCCUGGGUCAAAGAGAGUGAGGUAUCUAGCAAUUAUUUAAACCUGUUUUAAAACUUCCUUCAAGAAAAUUUACUAAGAGACCUCCUUCUCAUAUCACGAAUGGAUUUGUGGAAAGAUGUUUACCCCUCAGAAAGCCUCAUAGUUUGGCUUAUUACACAGACAAAAAUCAAUAACACGCAAACUCUCACCAGUGUUUUUCUCUUUAGGAUGAUUUAAAGGUAUGGAGUUAACAAACUGUUUCCUUAACAGUUUUGAGGCUGGUGUCAUAGAAUCAUAGAAGCAUAGAAUGUCC